AAAUGGUACCGUAACUUCGGGAGAAGGUACGCUCUUGAUGGUGAAGUCCCUUGCGGAUGGAGCUGACGAGAGUCGCAGAUACCAGGUGGCUGCAACUGUUUAUUAAAAAACACAGCACUGUGCAAAAUCGUAAGAUGACGUAUACGGUGUGACGCCUGCCCGGUGCCGGAAGGUUAAUUGAUGGGGUUAGACUUCGGUCGAAGCUCUUGAUCGAAGCCCCGGUAAACGGCG
rnacentral:rRNA from 1 species